AGAGUUUGAUCCUGGCUCAGAACGAACGCUGGCGGCGCGCCUAACACAUGCAAGUCGAACGAGAAGGCGUAGCAAUACGCUUGUACAGUGGCGAACGGGUGAGGAACACGUGGGUAACCUACCCUUGAGUGGGGAAUAACCCGCCGAAAGGUGGGCUAAUGCCGCGUACGCUUCUACUUCUUCGGGAGUGGAAGGAAAGCCGUACCGAGGGUACGGCGCUCAAGGAUGGGCUCGCGUCCUAUCAGCUUGUUGGUAGGGUAACGGCCUACCAAGGCAACGACGGGUAGCUGGUCUGAGAGGACGAUCAGCCACACUGGCACUGCGACACGGGCCAGACUCCUACGGGAGGCAGCAGUGAGGAAUAUUGCGCAAUGGGCGAAAGCCUGACGCAGCGACGCCGCGUGGGGGAUGAAGGUCUUCGGAUUGUAAACCCCUUUCGGGAGGGAAGAUGGGACGGGCAACCGUUCGGACGGUACCUCCAGAAGCAGCCACGGCUAACUUCGUGCCAGCAGCCGCGGUAAUACGAAGGUGGCAAGCGUUGUUCGGAUUUACUGGGCGUACAGGGUGCGUAGGCGGUUCGGUAAGCCCUUCGGGAAAACUUCAGGCUCAACCUGGAAAGUUCGGAGGGGACUGCCGGCUAGAGGACGGGAGAAGAGCGCGGAAUUCCGGUGUAGCGGUGAAAUGCGUAAAGAUCGGGA
rnacentral:rRNA from 1 species